GACGAACGCUGGCGGCGUGCCUAAUACAUGCAAGUCGAGCGAGGGAGCUUGCUCCCUAGCGGCGGACGGGUGAGUAACGCGUGGGCAACCUGCCCUUCAGCCCGGAAUAACUGUCGGAAACGAUGGCUAAUACCGGAUGAGGCAACCAAUUCGCAUGGACUGGUUGCGAAAGUUAAGGCGCUGAAGGAUGGGCCCGCGUCCCAUUAGCUAGUUGGUGAGGUAAUGGCCCACCAAGGCGACGAUGGGUAGCCGGCCUGAGAGGGUGAACGGCCACACUGGGACUGAGACACGGCCCAGACUCCUACGGGAGGCAGCAGUAGGGAAUCUUCCACAAUGGGCGAAAGCCUGAUGGAGCGACGCCGCGUGAGGGACGAAGGCCUUCGGGUCGUAAACCUCUGUCCCACGGGACGAGAGAGGACGGUACCUGGGGAGGAAGCCACGGCUAACUACGUG
rnacentral:rRNA from 1 species